UGGAUUGGUCCAGGAUUGGGGUUUUGCUAGUCCAUAGCAAUUCGAAGGGCAGUGGGCUAGUGUUAUGAGAAUAUUGGCAAGAAAAUA
ensembl:lncRNA novel transcript